rnacentral:rRNA from 1 species
UAGCCGUAAACGAUACUCGCUAGGUGUCGGCCACGGUGCGACCGUUGUCGGUGCCGUAGGGAAGCCGUGAAGCGAGCCACCUGGGAAGUACGGCCGCAAGGCUGAAACUUAAGGAAUUGGCGGGGGAGCGCAACAACGGGUGGAGCUUGCGGUUUAAUUGGAUUCAACGCCGGAAAUCUUACCGGGACCGACAGCAACAUGAAGGCCAAGCUGAAGACUUUGCCGGAUUAGCUGAGAGGAGGUGCAUGGCGUAGUCGUGU